rnacentral:sRNA from 1 species
CACCAGGGAGGAUAACGUUGCUUCAGCAACGGCCCGUAGGGCGAGGCGCAGCCGAGUAAUCCUCCCGGAUGCACCA